rnacentral:miRNA from 1 species
UAAGAAAACCGCAUGUGGAAACAA